GCCCAUUCGAUGGGUUCUCUUAUGAUGUGUAGGGGUAUCAUUGUGAUCCGAUGUCAUGAAGAAAAAAGUGAAUAGAUUCUUAUAAAUUAUUUUAAUCAUAAAUAUAUUUAGAUUAAAUCUAAAAUAAUUUAUGAUUCAUUAUAAUAAGAUAAAUUUAGAUAUAAAAUUAUUUUAGAAUCUAAAUAGCAUGUUACAUUAGA
rnacentral:lncRNA from 1 species